GAGAAAUUAGUGUUGAAGCUUCUAACUUCGUCCUGGGGGUUGGACCUCCAUUUCUUU
rnacentral:tRNA from 1 species